rnacentral:rRNA from 1 species
UACGGAGGGUGCAAGCGUUUUUCGGAAUCAUUGGGCGUAAAGCGCGUGUAGGCGGCUUGGCAAGUCGGGUGUGAAAUCCCGGGGCCCAACCCCGGAACUGCAUUCGAAACUGCCUCGCUAGAGUCCCGGAGAGGAAGGCGGAAUUCCCGGUGUAGAGGUGAAAUUCGUAGAUAUCGGGAGGAACACCAGCGGCGAAGGCGGCCUUCUGGACGGUGACUGACGCUGAGACGCGAAAGCGUGGGGAGCGAACAGG